CCUACGGGAGGCAGCAGUGGGGAAUAUUGGACAAUGGGCGAAAGCCUGAUCCAGCCAUGCCGCGUGUGUGAAGAAGGCCUUCGGGUUGUAAAGCACUUUCAGUGGGGAAGAAAGCCUUGGGGCUAAUACCCUCGAGGAAGGACAUCACCCACAGAAGAAGCACCGGCUAACUCCGUGCCAGCAGCCGCGGUAAUACGGAGGGUGCGAGCGUUAAUCGGAAUUACUGGGCGUAAAGCGCGCGUAGGCGGUCUGAUAAGCCGGUUGUGAAAGCCCCGGGCUCAACCUGGGAACGGCAUCCGGAACUGUCAGGAUAGAGUGCAGGAGAGGAAGGUAGAAUUCCCGGUGUAGCGGUGAAAUGCGUAGAGAUCGGGAGGAAUACCAGUGGCGAAGGCGGCCUUCUGGACUGACACUGACGCUGAGGUGCGAAAGCGUGGGUAGCAAACAGGAUUAGAUACCCGGGUAGUC
rnacentral:rRNA from 1 species